CAUUUUUCAGUCUCUCUGGCUGCUCUCUGUUGGAUGUGGACGUGCAGCUAACCGGAUUUUUGCUCAGAACUGUAACUCCUAGGAAACAAGGAUCUACAAUGAGUCCCAGCGUGGAGUUCACUUCACUACGCCCAAGGACCACGAGGAGAAGCAAGUUAAAAGAUGGUUGAACAAAGAUCACACUGCCUGAAGAUGGAUGCUCUGAAACAUCAUUUGACCCCCUCCUGGUACCUCCUGCAGCCAUGAGCACAUGGUUUCUCAAGAUGUUGGAGACUCUCUCUUAGCUCGUCCACACACUGAUGGAAGGAGUUGCUGGGACAUAUCCGCAUCUCAACCACAAACCUGGAUGCUGACUCCAAGGCUGGAGCUCUACUGAGGAUCUACGAGUCCCAGCGUGGAGUUCACUACGCAGAACACCAAGUGCCCAAGGAACUCCAGGAGAACCAAGUUAAAAGAUGGUUGAACAAAGAUCACACUGCCUGAAGAUGGAUGCUCUGAAAGAUCAUUUGACCCCCCAUGCUGUCUGCAGCCAUGAGCACAUGGUUUCUCAAGAUGUUGGAGACUCUCUCUUAGCUCGUCCACACACUGAUGGAAGGAGUUGCUGGGACAUAUCCGCAUCUCAACCACAAACCUGGAUGCUGACUCCAAGGCUGGAGCUCUACUGAGGAUCUACAACGAGUCCCAGCGUGGAGUUUACUACGCCACAUCUGCAACCACACAAACCUGGAUGCUGACUCCAAGGCUGGAGUUCUAAUGAGGGUGUGACUGAAGGAUCUGGAUCUGGAGGACGUGCAGACGCAUGAAAAGCCGGGUGGAACAGUUCUACUGGGCUCUGCAGGGGCAUGGAGUGAAACUCGGACUCUCCUGUCCUCCGUCUUGUUCUACAAGGCUAUUCAUCUCAACUGUUCACUACAUUGACAUGAAUUUGUAUUUGAAGAAUUUUCAAAUAAAUGUUUGACAAAGAAUGGA